UGUCUGCAGACUGGCUCUCAGGACGGGGAAGCUGGCAGAAGUACAUGCCUUUGCUCUGAUACCCCUGAGCCAGAGACAGGCCCUAAAGAUGACAAAUAUACACAGACCGUGGGGUGUGCCUGCGUGGGCCCCAGGGGGUCCUGCUCCUGAGGUGUGGGCCGCCUCCCCAGGCUCCUGGAGGUUGUUUGACAAUUGUUUGAAUCAGUGAUCCCCUGGCCACCCCAGUCUGCUGAUUCCGUGAGGCUGACUGCUCCAGGAGCCUGGUAGGAGUGGAGUUCUUCGUCUUCUUCAGGGAGGCCGGAUUGGUUCCUUUCUGAGUGGCCUGUUUCAUUUGGCGUCAUGUCCUCAAGAUUUUCAAACCACACUUGACAGCUGCUGUCUGAAACUGCGGAGGGUAACCAAGGAUAAGAGGGACUGCCAUAAAAAUAAUAGGACUGCAGUGACAGAAAAGUUGUAAAAAUA